rnacentral:rRNA from 1 species
AGAGUUUGAUCCUGGCUCAGGAUAAACGCUGGCGGCGUGCCUAACACAUGCAAGUCGAACGUCCUACACUUCGGUGUAGGGAGUGGCGGACGGGUGAGGAACACAUGGGUAUCUGCCUUCUAGUGAGGAAUACCGGCGAGAAAUCGCCGACAAGACCGCAUACGCUUCUCGCAAGGGAAGGAAAGCUCGUAAGGGCGCUAGAAGAUGAGCCUGUGGCCGAUUAGCUAGCUGGUGGGGUAAUGGCUCACCAGGGCGACGAUCGGUAGCUGGUCUGAGAGGACGAUCAGCCACACUGGGAUUGAGAACGGCCCAGACUCCUACGGGGGGCAGCAGUGAGGAAUUUUCGUCAAUGGGGGCAACCCUGAACGAGCAACGCCGCGUGCAGGAAGACGCUUCUCGGAGUGUAAACUGCUUUUCUCUGGGACGAGCAAGGACGGUACCAGAGGAAGAAGCCCCGGCUAACUACGUGCCAGCAGCCGCGGUAAUACGUAGGGGGCGAGCGUUGUCCGGAUUUAUUGGGCGUAAAGCGUCCGCAGGCGGUCUUUUACGUUUGGGGUGACAGUCUCCGGCUCAACUGGGGAAGUGCUCCGAAUACGGGAAGACUUGAGGACUUCAGAGGAAAGCGGAACUCCGGGUGGAGUGGUGAAAUGCGUAGAUAUCCGGAAGAACACCGAUGGCGUAGGCAGCUUUCUGGGAAGUACCUGACGCUCAUGGACGAAAGCCAGGGGAGCAAACGGGAUUAGAUACCCUAGUAGUCC